rnacentral:rRNA from 1 species
UAUUGCACAAUCGGGGGAAACCCUGAUGCAGCCAUGCCGCGUGUGUGAAGAAGGCCUUCGGGUUGUAAAGCACUUUCAGUAGGGAGGAAGGUAGUGUAGUUAACACCUGCAUUAUUUGACGUUACCUACAGAAGAAGCACCGGCUAACUCCGUGCCAGCAGCCGCGGUAAUACGGAGGGUGCGAGCGUUAAUCGGAAUUACUGGGCGUAAAGCGCAUGCAGGCGGCCUGUUAAGUCAGAUGUGAAAGACCCGGGGCUUAACCUCGGAAUUGCAUUUGAAACUGGCAGGCUAGAGUCUUGUAGAGGGGGGUAGGAAUUUCAGGUGUAGCGGUGAAAUGCGUAGAGAUCUGAAGGAAUACCAGUGGCGAAGGCGGCCCCCUGGACAAAGACUGACGCUCAGAUGCGAAAGCGUGGGGAGCAAACAGGAUUAGAUACCCUGGUAG